rnacentral:pre_miRNA from 1 species
GGGACCUGUAGAAUCGGGCUACUGUGUGUUUAACAAUUCAGAAGCUCGUCUCUACAGGAACGU